rnacentral:rRNA from 1 species
GACCUCAAAUCAGGUAGGAACACCCGCUGAACUUAAGCAUAUCAAUAAGCGGAGGAAAAGAAAAUAACAAUGAUUCCCCUAGUAACUGCGAGUGAAGAGGGACAAGCUCAAAUUUUAAAUCUAUCGGGUUUUACCUGAUCGAGUUGUAAUUUGAAGAUGGCGUUUUCUGUGUUUCUGAUCAGUCCAAGUCCUUUGGGAUAAGGCAUCAUGGAGGGUGAGAAUCCCGUUCGGUUGAUCAGAUUCGCUUUACGAUACGUUAUCAAAGAGUCAAGUUGUUUGGGAUUGCAGCUUAAAAUGGGAGGUAAAUUUCUCCUAAGGCUAAAUAACGGCGAGAGACCGAUAGCGAACAAGUACCGUGAGGGAAAGAUGAAAAGAACUUUGAAAAGAGAGUUAAACAGUACGUGAAAUUGUUGAAAGGGAAACGAUUGAAGCCAGUCGUACCUUCGGGUAAUCAGCCUUUCGGGUGCGAUUCUGUGGAGUUUGAGGAGCUUUAACACCUUCAUGCUUUGCAUAUUCGUGCUCUUGGGUGUACUUGCCCGUGUGGUUGGUUAACAUCAAUUUCGGGCAUCAUAAAAUGGCUGGAGGAAUGUAGCUUCGAUCUUGUAUUGAAGUGUUAUAGCCUUCGGUAGAUGUGGUGAUCGAGAUUGAGGAUUGCAACGGAUACCUUUCGGGGCUACCUGUCUGAUCUCUGAUCGUUGCUCUGGUACCGAAAGCUUGCUUACGGUUAUCAAAGUCGAUGGUCAAUAGGUUAGAACGGGUUAAAUUCGUUAAGGAUGUUGACGUAAUGGCUUUAAACGACCCGUCUUGAAACACGGACCA